UGGCUUGUUCCCCCCCAAAAUGUUAAUAACCAAACGAUUGGUAUGGAUGUAAUUAUCAAUAAUUAUACGAAUUAUUGCUGAUUGCGGGGCUCGUAGCUACUUUAAUUAGCUUACCAGAUUCUAAUUAAGUUAAAUGAAACAUUAAUAGAGAAAAUAUGCUUUAAAAAACACCCAGGAUUUUUAAUGUCUAUUUCUCGCCACAAUGUUGCCACCUUGCGACGAACUCCGGGCAUUACAGCCUGCGCUCACGGCCCAGACUCGGAUACCUUCGCUCUAGCGGAGAAAGUGGGUUUGCAGAAUCAAGGGAGACUGGGCACAGAAUGUCUCACAGGAGAUUUUUCUCCGGGUGUUUGUUUUGGCACCCCUGUUCCCCCGAGUUCUCUACAAGAUUCUGGCGCUGGGAUACAGGUCUGGAGGUAAGGAGCCAUGUAAAACAUGCCCCGUCCACCUCUCCACCGAUUUCGCCAGAGGAAUUCCAUCCCUUAUGCCAGCGGUGUGGGGCAGACUGCCUCUCUCCACCAGUGCGGCAAACCCUGCGUGAAAGACUGAGUAGACGGAUAUUUUCUGCCCUUGAGACACCUGUAAACUGCUUCCCACCUCUGCUUCCUCUGUCAAUGGGUUCCUCACCUCCUUGGUCACAGCUCUCUUGUGUGUUCUCGGGGCUCUAGGUUCCUGGACUCACCUCCUUGUUAUCCGUGGUAAUAUGAGUUGUCUACCCAGGAGACUGCAAGUACCUCCACAACUGAGGUCACACCUAAUGUUCUUCCUUGCCACCUCCAACGGCACAGCGGAGGCACCGAAGUGCACACGUGGACCGUCCACGUGAAAGGCUAUUUCGUCGAGGUGCUGGAAACGUCUGAGGGAAGGAAUCCCAGGUGCUUCUGGACAACAGCCACCGAGAAGCAAUUAUGCUCAUUUACAUAAGGUUAAUUAAACACAAGCUUGCUGCUCACAAAGAUCCUUCAUCAAUAGGAUUAGUGUUGGGGUAGGGUGUCAAGUAAUUUAUUGUCAACCUAGGGAAGGAAAACCUUCCUCGGGUCCCAACUGUGUGUCAAAGACACUACCUCAUCCACACAUUCCCAGCUACCAUAUCCUACAGUGCAACCUGGGUCCUUGGCAACUCCCACCUGGAAUCCAGAUCACCAGAAGAAGCAAAACUGCAUUGUACACCUUCUCCCAUGCUUCCAUUCAUUCUAAACAGGCUCACCCCUCCUCCCUCCCCAGAGGCCACAGUGGUGUGGGAAGAGCACAAACGCUGUAACGGGGUUCACUGAGUCUCCACUGCCUCUUUGUGUAAUAUGGGACCUGUUGGGGGAACUCUGUGUUCCUGCCUCAUCCAUAACAUGACUUCAUACAACUGGUUUGUACAUGUAGUAAGCCAAUACACGUAAAGCCUGGAGGAUAGUCCUGGAAAAUAGGAGCUGAUGUAUCUGUGUGUGACAGAAUCAGAGCUGGUGUACCUGUGUGUGAUAGAGUCAGAGCUGGUGUAUCUGUGUGUGAUAAGGCCACCUCGCAAUCCAGCGCAUUUUCCAGUCCGUGGCCCUCCACUCCUCCAGGGCCCACGAAAGGAGACAAGCCAAUGCGCCCUCCAGCCUGACCUUCUGGACUUUCUGGAAACACUUAAAAGCAGUCACAAAGACCCGGUUGGAAAGAUAUCCUAAGGUCCUAACCUUGGUUGGCUACAGGUGGCCAAUGAGGCAGUGGAUGGGCCCAAGUUUCUUGAGCAAGUUGGAGCAGAGCCAGGAAAGGCAGCCAGAAUUUCAGAUUUUUCUAGCCCUGAGGAUUGCAUGCCCCAACAGUUCGUGUCGUGAGGAACGAGGGAUUUCCUUGGACAGUUGGGUUCCUAUACCAUUCCAUUCCAGCAUAAAUGAUCCUGCCGGUCCUUACGACAGGAAGAAGCACAAUAGUAUUGUAGGUGGUGUCUUUGAUUGGCAGCACUCCCGGAGAGAAUUUAAAACUGUUGACCCCGAGAACCGGACAUCUGAUCCCAACAGAACUGUCCUCCAGUCGGUUCGUAGAGGAAGGCUGAGCCGAGGUGUAAGGAGUCCCACAGAUCUUGAUUCGACAAUGGGAUCAGGAACGGGUCAUGUCACCUUCAUAGACGAAAACAGAAGGAGUUAGCACAGCCAGUGGCGGCCUGAGGAGUCCGCCCAGUCCACGGUCUUCGGUUCUGAUCACAGGUGCCCCCGUGGCGAGCCCAGGAGCCGCUGGCCUGCCCGCGGCUGCAGAGCCCUCGAGCCCUCGCGCAGGCUCAGAACCAGCGAAGCACGUACACCAUGUUUCUUUGGGCGGGAAUUGGACAUUUCAGAAAGCAUUGCGUAAGUCAGCCCAGGAAAUCUGAACUUGGGGAAGGCGGUCCUUCCUUCUUGAUCUUACUAAUUAGGAUUUCUGUAUUAUUUAUUUAUUGGUUAUUUGGCAGUUGAAUAAAUGUGCGGACCAGGAAAUUCUGCUUUCACAGUCAGGGUCUCUUCAAAGGUAUCAGGCCUAGGUUUCAAAUGCUUGCUCGUCUCGCCCCGGUGACUCUAUGUCAUUGCGAUGUGGCACCUGAAGUGACCAGCUUUAGCGAACCAUUCCUUCAUAGGUUAGUGAGGAGGGAGGCAGAGGCGAGCGGGAGCUGGUGCACGUCUGCAAUCCCAGCUAUGGGGAGGCGGCGGCAGGAAGAUCCAGAGCUGGAGGUUAUCCUAGACUGCAUGGCAAAUUCGAGGCCAGGGUGGGAUGUGUGAGACCAGUCUCAAAAAGUAAAAUAAGUCACAAACUGCAACUGAAACCCCUGGAUAAGGCACACUGCAAAGAGAUGGCUCUGUCUAGACCCCUCUUCUUACUUCCUCCUGGAGAACUAUGGUUCCAUUGAAUCAAGCAAAAGAUGGAACAUGGGAAGAUUGUGUGGGGGCUGUUGUGAAUGUGGAAUUUAAAAAUAGAGAAAGAAAAAUAUGGAACGCUUCACGAAUUUGCGUGUCAUCCUUGCGCAGGGGCCAUGCUAAUCUUCUCUGUAUCGUUCCAAUUUUAGUAUAUGUGCUGCCGAAGCGAGCACGGUUACGUGUGAGUCUCAGAAGGUAUAUAAGGGCAAAACUGUCAAAAUUUUAUCAGUUAUGGUGAGGUUCUUAUGUACUGUUUUCCAAAUCCAAUCUCUCUAUAAAUUCGUACUUUAUGAAUUCUAUAUUGCGCAUUCGUCAUUUUUAGUUUAGAUGCAGAGUUAAAUUCAGUUAUGCCCGCAUCUUCGUUUCAACAUUGUAUAUGCAAAUGAAGGGACGAUGGGAAACAGACCUGUUCCGGGCCGAUCUGUGCGCGGCCCCGUAGUCACAGUCCGCCACGUGAUGCGCGCUGUGCACGCGCCUGGCCGCGCUGUGCCCGCGCCUGGCCGCGCUGGGCUCCUCCGGCGGCGACGCAGGGCGCCAGUGUAGCCUAGGGACAAGGCGCCAAGGGGUCCACCGGGUCCCACUUGGAAGGGCGGGGCCAAGCUUGCGAGCGGCUCAUCAAGCCAGGCUCGGCUCUGAGACUCGCCACCCAUGAUGCGGCUGCCCAGGGUGGCCUGCUCCGGGUGUAGAGGGUGAUGAGCCGCCUCUGCCUCAGUUUCCCCCGGGCUUGUCGAAAACAGCGCGCCACCACUGGAGCCGAGGCAAAGGGGGGUGUCCACGUUGGAGCCCAGACUUGCCGAGUGUGGCCCGCGGCUGGCGGUCGUUGUGGGAGAGGGGCACGCUCGCGCUCCUGCGUUUACUAAGGGCCAGGCCCUUUAAUGGGGGUGGUCCCCCCGACUUUGCAAGUUAGGAAAUCGAGGCUCUGGCAGGUUAAACCAAGUGGUCCUGCGCGCCGUGAAAGAAGUCGAGAUUUGGAUGCUAGCCGAGUUCAGAGGCCGCUCUUUUCUCGUGCACAGUAGGACUCUGAAGAAAGAGCAGCCCUCCCCCCCCCCCCCCGUUCCGGGUUAGACUGUACCCCCAAGCUUAGCCUACUCUUCCUCCCUUCCCUUUUUGCUCUGACAGACCCGGAGCGCCGACAUGUCGCCACCCGCUCUUUAAGACCAGGGAAGCCUGCUAAAGGAUGCUGUCCUCUUUGUGGAAAUGUACCCAAAUACCUUCAGCAAAGACCAAGCAGAUGAGGCUACCCAGUCAUGGACUUUAAUGCUGCAAAACUGUAAGCUGUAUAAACCUCUUUUCUGUAGAUGCUCAGCCUUAUAGCAUCAGAAAACAGACUAAGAUAGUGGGUGAAUGGAGGGAAAGAAUGGAUGUGGUAUGAGGCUGGAGGAGAGAGCUCAUGAAAGAACCCCUUAAAGGGAGAACCAAGUGGAUCACGACUUCACAGGAAGUCCCAUCCCCCAGGACACAGGCACUAAAGCAGAGGAGUGUGGGUGCUAUGGCUCUGGCCAGCCAUCUCAGAGCUCCAGGGGCAGCAGAGCUCCAGUAACCUUCCGGGUCAUUGACUUCUCUCCACUCUGCAGACCUGAGGUGACCUGAAUGUGGAUAGUCUUCCCUGAGCGUCUUGGGCUGCAGAACCCCAAGAGACAAGAUGUGGUGACUUGAUUCUCUUGGGGGUGGGGCUUCCCACCACCUGAGUGAGAGAAUGUAGACCAGGUUUGGUUUUGAUUCUUGUUUUUUGUUGUUUUGUUUGUUUGGGUUUUUUUUUUUUUUUUUUUUUUUUUUGAGACAGCGUUUCGCUGUGUUAUAGCCUUGGCUGUCCUGAAACUCACUCUGUAGACCAGGCUGGCCUCCAACUCCCAAAGACCUUCCUACCUCUGCCUCCUGAGUGCUGGGAUUAGAGUGGCGCACCACGACGUGUAGCAUUAUUAUUAUUAAAUUUUAAUUAUUUAGUGUAUAAAGAUCAUCCUCAGGUACACAAGACCCCGUCUCAAAAGUCAGGGGAAGCCGGGCGGUGGUGGCUCACGCCUUUAAUCCCAGCACUCGGGAGGCAGAGCCAGGCGGAUCUCUGUGAGUUCGAGGCCAGCCUGGGCUACCAAGUGAGUUCCAGGACAGGCUCAAAGCUAUACAGAGAAACCCUGUCUCGAAAAACCAAAAAAAAAAAAAAAAAAAAAAGUCAGGGGAAAAAAAUGGUGUGUGGUGGGGUGCUGAUGAGGUUGUUCAGCAGGUAAUGUGCUUGUCACGUAAGACUGUCAGCCUGUGUUUAAGCUCUGGAAACCACGUGGCAGAGGAGAGACAUGACUGACAGAAUUGCCCUCUGACUGCCACUAUGGAGUUAUGCACAAGCCCCCAUCCUGUGCACACAGUGACACAGAGGGGGAGGAGGGGCUGAGUCUGGGGGCACCUGCUAGCCUCUCCACCUGUCAGCAUGUCUGUUUCAUCUGCAGGGCAUGAAAGGGGAUGCUCCUCCAGAUCUUGGCACCAUGGACUCUGCUGUCACUCACCCCCUAGGCCACACUGACUGACAGUGACUAUGGUUUACGGGGUGUGUGUGUGUGGGGGGGGGGUGGGCAGGGACUUCCUUAUAUAAGUUCCAGCAGCCUCUCUGCUGACCCUGGAUCACCCUGAAGCAAGCCUACCAGGCUUCUGACUUCUCUUCUAGGAUGGAAGAUGUAAUUCUUGCCCUUGCUGUCCAGGGUUGGGGUGGGGGCCAGAUGAGAAAGGGCAUUGGAAACUCCCAGCCCUCUCCCAGGGAACCACUCCCCUUACCUGGCCAGGAGGCACUGGUCCCAUCCCCCACCAGGAAAGACUCGGAAAAACCAGAAAAUGAGAGUGCCAAGAUGAACCAUCACAUUGUGUUAAUAUUUUCACACCACUUAACUCUCAUUAAAAUGUACUUUGCUGAAUUUAAUAUGUGAUUUCAAAUGACACAACAUAUUAAGUGCUUAAUAUACUAGAAAUUAUGAAACUAUUAUAGUCGAUGCCAUAUGAAAUAAUUAGAGUGAAUUAAACUUUAGCAGCCGAGUGAAGGCAGGGCUUCAACUUAUAAUGUCUGCAAGUCGCUCAAGCCACAGCUGUAAUCCCCCAAAUAAAUGUCCAGAAAUGAGGCUCUUUAAAUAAAAACCGAAUCUCAUGUGUACUUACACCACAAGGUCUUCUGGGCUCUAGUGACAUGGGACCUGGCUGCUCUGGCAGGAGGGGAGGGGCCUGGGACCCACUCCCAGGAAAGACCCCUGGGGCUUUACCUGGCUUUGCCCAGAGGUACAACUCAAGUGGCGUGUGAUGUCAAGAGGCAUGGCUCUCCUAUGUCAGAACAGUGCGCUGCUGAGUUGAAAAUAGAAACACGCCUACUCACCUCGCAGGGCUGUGCCUCCUGCCAGCUGUUUUCUGUGCAGCUGAUCACUCAGCCUCACGGCGCAUCUGGGUUACAAGUCGCCAUUUUCUGCUGAAGAAACUCUGAAAGAGAAUCAUCAAGGACUUCGGUCAGAUCCACUGUGCUGAUCCAUACUAGUGUAUGAGCACAUGCACUUGUGUGUUUGUGCACCCCUAUCUAGAGUGUGUGUGUGUGUGUGUGUGUGUUAAUGAUAUGCUUGUAUAUGUGGAAGCCAAAGAAGGAUGUCCUCAAUUGCUCUCCACCUCAUUGUAAAAGCGAUUUUUAUUUAUAGGUAUGAAUGUGCGUCUGUGUGUGCAGGUAUGUGCACAUGUGUGCAGAUGCUCUCAGAAGCAAGCAGAGAGCCUUGAACCCCUGGAGCUGGAAUUACUGUGAGUUACCCACCCUGGGUGCUGGGAACUGAACUGUGUCCUCUGCAAGCAAGAACAGGACUUGCUCUUAACUGCUGAGCCAUCUCUUGGGUCCCUCCACUUUAUUUAUCUGAGGCAGGGUCUCUCACUGAACUGAUUUGGCUAACCCAGUCAACCAGCAAGCCCCAGGCAUCCUCCUGCCUGCAUCUCCUCCACAGUGGGAUUCCAGGCACCCUCGGCCUUCCCUGAGUUUUCACACAGCUGCUGGAGGUGGACCAGCAAGCUCUCUAUCCACUGUGCUGCCUGAGCAUCCUUGAUUUUAAUCCUGUGGCCAAUGACCAUGGUGUCAGGACCUCUCCUGUCUUGGAGAAUGUCCCUGCUUCAACCCUUCUAUUUUCUUACAUUUAUUUAUUUAUUCACUUAUUUAUGUGCACAUGUGAAGGUCAGAGGUCACCUGGCCAGAGUCGGUUCUUUCCUUCCAACAUGUGGGCUCCAUGGCAAGUGCCUUUAUCCAUGGAGCCAUCUUGCUAGCCCUGCCUCAACAUUUUAUUCACAUAGUUUAUUAUUAUCGUACACAUCUUCCCUGGAUAAAUGUACUAAUCUUUGAAGAAUCCCUGUGGAUGUGUCUAGAAUAACAGAACAGAUAUAUGGAUAAACAACAUGAUAAAAGGAAGAACUAAGAGGUGACCAUGAACAUGAAGUAAAUAAGAGGGGUCCGGGUACGUGGCUCAGUUUGUAGAAUACUUGCCUGGUGUGCACCCCCCACCCCCCACCCCCACACAUAUGCAUUCUGGCAUGUUCAACUUCGUGAAAAGAUCAUUAGCAGAGCCAGGUGUGGUGGUACAUACUUGUAAUGCCAGCACCUGGGAGGGUGAAGUUAGAGGUUCUCUGAGCAUCACACUGAGAUUCUUGCUCAGAUUAAAAAGAAAAAACAGGGACUUGGGAUCUAGCUCUACCGGUAGAGAGCUUAUCUAGCAUGCAUGAAGCCCUGGGUGCCAUCCCAGCCCGGGGUGAGAUGGUGCACACCUGUAAUCCCAGCACUGCCGAGGUGGACGCAGCAGGAUCACAAGUUCAGUGUCAGCUGGGAGGUGGUGGUGCACGCCUUUAAUCCCAGCACUUGGGAGGCAGAGGCAGGCAGAUCUCUGAGUUUGAGGCCAGCCUGGUCUACGAAGCGAGUUCUUGGACAGCCAGGGUUAUGCAGAGAAAUCCUGUCUUGAAGCCCCCCGCCACCCCCAAAAAGAAAAAGUUGACGAAAUUCAGGGUCAUCUUGGGAUACAUAGUGAGUUUGGGGCCAUCAUGGAAUGCAUAUAUGAGACACUUUCUCAAAAAAAAAAAAGAUUCACCAUAAAUCAAACAUCAAAAAAUAAAACCAAGCCCCCAAACUCCCAAAGCCCCAAAGCAAGGGCAAUGACAAUCUUCCAUAGUUCUGCUUUCCAGUGAUAAGAGUUUGGUAUGAUGACCACAUAUUGAUCUUAGCAUGUAUUAUGAUUGCCAAUCAAGAUCCUACGAUGACCGGACGGUGGUGGCGCAUGCCUUUAAUCCCAGCACUCGGGAGGCAGAGCCAGGCGGAUCUCUGUGAGUUCGAGGCCAGCCUGGGCUACCAAGUGAGUUCCAGAAAAGGCGCAAAGCUACACAGAGAAACCCUGUCUCGAAAAAGAAAAAAAAAAUCCUAUGAUGACAGAUUGCUUUGAACAAUUCCUGGCAUGAAGAAGCAGCCCCCUUCCAUGACCUCUUCUGCGAAUGCUCCUCCUGCAGUCGUCUGGUUAAGGCAGUGUCCAAAAUCAGCUGAUGUUCUCACCCCUGAAGAGCAAACUGGUUGUGGCAGAUAGUAGGGUACAACCUCGUUCUUUGUUCAGAUAUGCUAUUUUUAUUUAUUAUUAUCACAAUCAUUAUUAUUAUUGUAUGUAUGUGUGUGCAUGCAUGAUGAUGUGUGGACCAUGUCACAACACCAGGUCAGAGGAUGACAGUCAGUUCUCUGUUCUGUCCUUCCAUGGAUCCCAGGGACCAAACCCAGGUUGCCAAGCUUAAGAUGCAGUGAGCACCAUUACUGGCUGAGCCAUCUUGCUGGCCCCUACUUAAGAUAUUUUAAUCGAUGUAUACUAAGUGUACUUAUUCAGGAUCACAACUUUUCUCCGCAUAGUGGGUGAGUCCAACCGGAGGUAGAAGUGUUUGGGAAUCUACCACAAUCAGCCCUGUAGAUUUGCCCCUCCCGCGUUAACAGAGGACAGCUCUGCUUUGAUUUGUCAGUUUCCAUAAUCUUUUCUUCGUUUGUGCACGGGGCUGUGUGGUCCGUAUGUGUCCUGUACAAGUCUUCGUUAGUGUAAAGGUGUGCAUGUGUGUGGAGGCCAGAAAUUGACACAAGUGUCUUCCCCAAUUGCUUUCCACUUCUUUCUUUCUUCAUUUUUCUUUCUUCCUUUCCUUCUUUUUUCUCUCUCUCCCUUCCUCCCACUCUCCUUUUCUUUCUUUCUUUCUUAUUUCUUUUUUUUUCUUUUUCCUUCUUUUUUUUGUUUUUGUUUUUGUUUUUUGAGACAGGGUUUCUCUGUAUAGCUUUGAAGCCUUUCCUGAAACUCACUCUGUAGCCCAGGCUGGCCUCGAACUCACAGAGAUCCACCUGCCUCUGUCUUCCGAGUGCUGGGAUUAAAGGUGUGCGCCACCACCUCCCAGUUUCAUUUUCAGGUUUUUAUGUGAGUUCUGGAAAUCUGAACUCAGGCCCUCAUUCUUGCAUGGCAGUAACUUUCCUAACUGAACCAUCCCCCAGCCCCAUUAGACAUAUUUUUGAUCCAUGUGGGAGUCUAUUCUUUCAUCCUUGUUUGAAUUGUCUGUCACCAUGCAUGAUGUCAUGGCAGUCAUGAGCUGAUCUUUUGGGCAGUAGGACACCAAUAUGUAAAUGCAGUAAGGCUAGAACUGUGUUCCACGUUCAUGGAAAAAAGACCGGAAAAGACAUAUAAGUCUGUUUGAUAUUUUUCUUAUUGUAUUUCUGCCAAAUCAAAACACUAUGGGAUGGUACUACUAUGUACCCCUCGGCUCACGACUGUCUUACAACAUAAAGUGCACUCAACUUUAGAAGUCCUGAGGGUCAGUGAUGGAGAGAUGCCUCAGAGAUUAAGAAUCCUUCUUGCAGGGCUGGAGAGAUGGCUCAGAGGUUAAGAGCUCGUUCUUCCAAAGGUUGGGAGUUCAAUUCCCAGCAACCACAUGGUGCCUCACAACCAUCUGUAAUGAGAUCUGGUGCCCUCUUCUGGCCUGCAGAGAUAUGUGCAGACAAACAAGUAAAUAAAUCUUAAAAAAAUGUGGCUCACAUACACGCAAAGAAGCACCCGUGCACAUAAAACAAACAUUGAAAUCUAUACAUUGUAAUACUCUAAGAGUUGGUGAGACAGGCCAGUGAAUAAAGCAUUUGCCGCUCAGCCUUGAGAACCUGAGAUUGUCCCUGGCAACCCAGUGGCCAGGAGAUUCUGCCCUGAAAACAAGGUGGAAAAUGAGAAGUCUCCCAGAUCCUCUGACCUCCACACACCAUGAAUGCACAUGUACACACACACACACACACACACACACACACACACACACACACAGAAUAAACAACUUUUUAAGUCUCUUACAAAGUUCAAAGCAAGUUACAUACCUGUUGUGGGAAAUUCACCAUUUGGUCCAAUUACCAGUUGGAUGGAGUGUUUUGGCCUUAUUGGCAUGUUUUUCUCUGAUAUAUGUAACCCCUUAAAAACUGUGGGGCAAGGGUCGCAUGCUCCCCCGGGUGGUCGGAGCAGGAGCAAGCAGUGGAGAAACGUGGCUUGCAGUCUGGUUCCCAUAGCCCUUGGGCAGAACGGCAGGACAACAGCAGGUGGAUCAGCAGCGGCCUUCUGUGUCGUGAGUGUACCUUAUAGACUUCAUUCCUUAAUAAAUCUUACCUGGCCGCAUA